AAUCAACGCUGGCGGCGUGCCUCAGACAUGCAAGUCGAACGAUUAAAGCUCUCUUCGGAGAGUAUAUAGAGUGGCGCACGGGUGAGUAACACGUAAGUAAUCUACCUUUGAGUGGGGAAUAACAAUCGGAAACGAUUGCUAAUACCGCAUAAUGCAGCGGCAUCGCAAGAUGACAGUUGUUAAAGGAGCAAUCCGCUUAAAGAGGAGCUUGCGGCAGAUUAGCUAGUUGGUAAGGUAAUGGCUUACCAAGGCUACGAUCUGUAACCGGUCUAAGAGGACGGUCGGUCACACUGACACUGAAUAACGGGUCAGACUCCUACGGGAGGCAGCAGUCGGGAAUUUUGGGCAAUGGGCGAAAGCCUGACCCAGCAACGCCGCGUGAAGGAUGAAGUAUUUCGGUAUGUAAACUUCGAAAGAAUGGGAAGAAUCAAUGACGGUACCAUUUAUAAGGUCGGCUAACUACGUGCCAGCCGCCGCCGUAAU
rnacentral:rRNA from 1 species